CAGGACCCUGAUGUGCUGCAAUGGACACAGGGUGCCACUGCUGGACCCUUCGGUGGUGACAGCUUCACUCAGUAAGACAGGACACGGUCACCUUCCCGGCAGAGAGAGGGCAGCGAACCCUGUGUUGGGGUGGCAGUAGGAGCAGGAGAUGGGCACCGUGCUCACCCGCAGGCCAGGCACGUGCCAGGUGGGUGUCCCCAGUGUCCCCCACAGGAGCCAUCCCCGGGUCUGUCCC
rnacentral:lncRNA from 1 species